AGAGAACCAGGAGAGUUGAGCUGAACUGAGGGUUCAGAGCUGCAGUCAGAACAUUUGCUGUCAGCAGUCAGGCCAUUCAACAGGGCUGCUAGAUUUUUAUGACAAGAGCAUGUAGAAGCCCUGGAUCAUUGUUCAGACAGGGAAGGUGACCAAUUUAUCAGGUCCUGAGGAUGUUGAAAGUGCAGGGAAACAUCUGAGAUUGGGUUUAUGUGGCCAACUGAAACCAAAGGGUGACUUGAAGCUCCUGAGGGAGACCAGAACACCCCUCUGCUCACUGCUGUGCCCUGGAGAAAGAGUCAGCAUCUUGUGGAAAGAGUAGCCAGCCUAACUUAAAGCCAGUAGAGGCUGCGUGUUCUGACAGGGGCCACAUAUCCGAUAUAAUGCUGCUGGUGGGCU
rnacentral:lncRNA from 1 species